ACUCAAAGGAAUUGACGGGGGCCCGCACAAGCGGUGGAGCAUGUGGUUCAAUUCGACGCAACGCGAAGAACCUUACCUGGGCUCGAAAUGGAGUGGAAUGAGGUAGAAAUAUCUCCGUCUCGCAAGAGACCGCUUUAUAGGUGCUGCAUGGCUGUCGUCAGCUCGUGUCGUGAGAUGUUGGGUUAAGUCCCGCAACGAGCGCAACCCUUAUUGCCAGUUGCCACCGGGUCAAGCCGAGCACUCUGGCGAAACCGCACAGGAUAACUGUGAGGAAGGUGGGGAUGACGUCAAGUCCUCAUGGCCUUUAUGUCCAGGGCUACACACGUGCUACAAUGGUCGGUACAAACCGUCGCAAACCCGCGAGGGGAAGCUAAUCGGAAAAAGCCGGCCUCAGUUCGGAUUGGAGUCUGCAACCCGACUCCAUGAAGCUGGAAUCGCUAGUAAUCGCGGAUCAGAACGCCGCGGUGAAUACGUUCCCGGGCCUUGCACACACCGCCCGU
rnacentral:rRNA from 1 species